GUUUGCUGCCUCUACACCAUUGCUGGAGCUGUACUGACCCAGUGCAGGCUUGGCAGCCUCGGCAGCAUCAUGAGCCUUGUUCUGUGAAUCCAACUUCAAAUUUUUCAUCAAAUCUGCAGUUUGAUCAGCUGAUGGUGUAGCGACGGCGGCCAUGGCGGGAUCUGGAUCUGGAGGUCUGGAUCGGGAGGUGGGAGAAACCCUAGAGGGGAGU
rnacentral:misc_RNA from 1 species